CAUUAAAAAUUCAAUGACAUAGGGUAAAUUGAUAAAUCCCAGAUAGAAGUAACAGCCCCUUUCACCAGAAGGGGGGGCCUCCUCACUACCAAGUGAGAGGGUGCCUUCGCGGGAUGUACGGUAAAAGUCCGUAGCCUUUUUUGGUAUUACCAUAACUCUUCUGUGUACCUAUUACUUGUUGCUUCCCUGGGGUAACUCAGGGAAGGCAUACAUAUACUCUGCCUAUUGCAGUCAGUCUGAACUUGUUUAUUUAUAAACGUUAAAACUUUCAACAACGGAUCUCUUGGUUCUCGCAUCGAUGAAGAACGCAGCGAAAUGCGAUAAGUAGUGUGAAUUGCAGAAUUCAGUGAAUCAUCGAAUCUUUGAACGCACAUUGCGCCCUCUGGUAUUCCGGGGGGCAUGCCUGUUCGAGCGUCAUCAAAACUACUCAAGCUAAGGUUUACCUUCUGCUUGGUCUUGGAAUUGGAAUAUAAUGUUUCCUUUCUGAAAUACAGUGGCGAAUUGACUGUGCUGUAAACGUAGUAACUUUACCCGUUGAAAGCAUGUUCACAUUCCGCCAUAACCCCCUCUAUUAUCUAGUUUGAC
rnacentral:rRNA from 1 species